UACGUAGGGGGCAAGCGUUGUCCGGAUUUAUUGGGCGUAAAGAGCGUGUAGGCGGCCAGGUAGGUCUGCUGUGAAAACUCGAGGCUUAACCUCGAGAUGUCGGCGGAAACCAUCUGGCUAGAGUCCGGAAGAGGAGAAUGGAAUUCCCGGUGUAGCGGUGAAAUGCGCAGGAUAUCGGGAAGAACACCCGUGGCGAAGGCGGCUACUGGUCCGGUACUGACGCUGAGGUGCGAAGCGUGGGGAGCAACAGGAUAGAUACC
rnacentral:rRNA from 1 species